GCCCACCUACGGGAGGCAGCAGUGGGGAAUAUUGCACAAUGGGGGAAACCCUGAUGCAGCGACGCCGCGUGAGUGAGGAAGUAUUUCGGUAUGUAAAGCUCUAUCAGCAGGGAAGAAAAUGACGGUACCUGACUAAGAAGCCCCGGCUAACUACGUGCCAGCAGCCGCGGUAAUACGUAGGGGGCAAGCGUUAUCCGGAUUUAUUGGGUUUAAAGGGUGCGCAGGCGGUCUGUUAAGUCAGCGGUCAAAGCCCGGGGCUCAACCCCGGCCCGCCGUUGAAACUGGCAGUCUCGAGUUGGAGAGAA
rnacentral:rRNA from 1 species